GGACUUUAUAGGUGCUUUUUCAUUUUGGAAGUGGUUAUGUUUGGUGACAUGGUUGGUUGAAAAUUGUGAUGUAUAGGGACUUUAAAGUUGCUUUUUUGUUUUAAAAGUGGUUAUACUUGGUAACUUGGCAGGUUGAAAAUGGUUAAGUGUAGGGAUAUUAAAGGUGGUUUGUUGUUCUAGAAGUGGUUAUGUUAGGUGACUUGGUAGGUUGAAAAUGUUUAUGUGUAGGGACUUUGACGGUACUUUUUUGUUUUGAAAGUGGUUAUGUUUGGUGAGUUGGUACGUUAAAAAUAGUUAAAUGUAGUGACUUUAAAUGUACUUUUUUUUCAAUGU
rnacentral:lncRNA from 1 species